AUAUCAUCCAAUGAUAAGGGUUGAAUGGAGAUAAUUCAGUAAUAUUUAGUCAGUGGUCAAUGUUUAUAAGCAGUAAGUGGGAAACAUGGAAUUUAUCAUGUUAGUCUCUAAAUGAAGGAAAAAUUGCCCCUGUCUGGAGAAUUCAGAAAAGUCUCCAUGGAGAAGACAAUAUUUUUUAUGGGCUUAAAUGGAUUCAGAAGAUGGAGAGGAAAAAAGUGGGAAUAUUAAGAUGGAAAAAAUUUCCACACAGAUGGAGGUACAGAAAAGAGUGAAUCAUGUCUAAGAGUUGACAGUUGACUCAGCUUGGUUAGAUCACAAGAAUCUGAAUACAAAGUGAAGAGGAGAAUUUUUGUGGAGAUGAAAGUGAGAACUUCCUCCUGAGCAAUGCUGACAGCUUCCUCUAUACCACCACUGUCCCUGUCUCCAUCUCUCCUGUGGCAUUGCCCCAGGAAUUGCUUGGCCCCCGUGUCCUCUGUAUCAUCUGUCUCAACACGCAUGUCUACAUCUGGAGUCUACUGA
rnacentral:lncRNA from 1 species